CCUACGGGAGGCAUCAGUGAGGAAUAUUGCUCAAUGGCCGGAAGGCUGAACCAGCCAAGCCGCGUGAAGGACGAAGGUGCCAAGCAUUGUAAACUUCUUUUGUCAAGGGACAAAAUCAGGCUCGAGAGCCUGACCGAGUGUACUUGAAGAAAAAGCAUCGGCUAACUCCCUGCCAGCAUCCGCUGUAAUACGGAGGAUGCGAACUUUAUCCGGUGUUAUUGGGUUUAAAGGGUGACUAGGCGUUCUGUUAAGUCAGCGGGAAAAGGACGGGGUUGAACCCCGGCUAGCCGUUGAUACUGGCUGUCGUGAGAUGUCGAGAGGUAUGCGGAAUGCGCAGUGUAGCGGUGAAAUGCUUAGAUAUUAGGAGGAACACCGGUGGCGAAGGCGGCUUACGGGACUGUAACUGACGUUGAGGCUCGAAAGCGUGGGGAGCAAACAGGAGUAGAUACCCGAGUAGUC
rnacentral:rRNA from 1 species